GAUGAACGCUGGCGGCGUGCCUAAUACAUGCAAGUCGAGCGAACAGACGAGGAGCUUGCUCCUUUGACGUUAGCGGCGGACGGGUGAGUAACACGUGGAUAACCUGCCUAUAAGACUGGGAUAACUUCGGGAAACCGGAGCUAAUACCGGAUAACAUGUUGAACCGCAUGGUUCAACAGUGAAAGACGGUCUUGCUGUCACUUAUAGAUGGAUCCGCGCCGCAUUAGCUAGUUGGAAAGGUAACGGCUUACCAAGGCAACGAUGCGUAGCCGACCUGAGAGGGUGAUCGGCCACACUGGAACUGAGACACGGUCCAGACUCCUACGGGAGGCAGCAGUAGGGAAUCUUCCGCAAUGGGCGAAAGCCUGACGGAGCAACGCCGCGUGAGUGAAGAAGGUCUUCGGAUCGUAAAACUCUGUUAUUAGGGAAGAACAAAUGUGUAAGUAACUAUGCACGUCUUGACGGUACCUAAUCAGAAAGCCACGGCUAACUACGUG
rnacentral:rRNA from 1 species